GAUGAACGCUAGCUACAGGCUUAACACAUGCAAGUCGAGGGACCGGCGCACGGGUGAGUAACACGUAUCCAACCUGCCCUUUACUCGGGGAUAGCCUUUCGAAAGAAAGAUUAAUACCCGAUGUAAAGGAUGGGGAUGCGUUCCAUUAGGUUGUUGGUGAGGUAACGGCUCACCAAGCCUUCGAUGGAUAGGGGUACUGAGAGGAAGGUCCCCCACAUUGGAACUGGGACACGGUCCAAACUCCUACGGGGGGCAGCAGUGUGGAAUAUUGGGCAAUGGGCGUUAGCCUGAACCAGCCAAGUAGCGUGAAGAAUGAUGGCUUAUGGGUCUUAAACUUCUUAUAUAUAAGAAUAUGUAUUAUAUGAAUAAGGAUCGGCUAACUCCGUGCCAGCAGCCGCGGUAAUUC
rnacentral:rRNA from 1 species